AUGAUUCAAAAAUACAACAUUGGGCAUGUGAAGUAUUUCCAAAUCAUGUGGAAGAAAAGGAAAAGGUUUGUCCCUGUCUAUUUCAAGAUGGAGUUCUUCCCCUUCAUUCACUCUACUGCGCGUAGUGAAGGCACCAACGCCAUUUUCAAGGACAACAUCACAUCAACCCACAAUGUGAUCAGCUUCCUCCAAGAGUACCAGAAGAUUUCAGAAACCAUACAAGAUAAGGAGAGGGAGCAAGACUCUAUCACAAGAACGACUUCGCCGACAUUCUGGGCACGAAGUGAGCUCGAGAUACAAGCUGCAAAAAUGUACAAUAGAAAGAUAUUUUACAGAUUCCAAAAACAGAUAAAGUUUGUGCUGAAUUUGCAUGUUGAAGAGGUUGAGAGAAAUGUGAAAUAUGAAGUCUACAAGACACCAAUGCUAGCUGAAAAGGAUUUCAGAACACGAAGAUUUGUUGUGAUUGUGAACUUGCAGGAACAGUUGUUCAGUUGUAUCUGUGGGAAAUUUCAGAAAGAUGGCAUUGUGUGUUGCCAUGUCUUGAGAGUACUUUCUCAUCUCAACAUGUCUGUGCUUCUAGAAAAAUAUUACAUAGAAAGGUGGAGGCCAAAAAAUACAAAGGACAUACGGGACAUCCAUUUCAUUGUUCCUUUGGAACUAACUGCUGGAAGUCAACACUUAAGGUAUACCCUGCUAUCCAACAGGCUCAAUGAGAUGGCCUCAGACGGUGCAUCAACAAACAGAAAAUAUCUGUAUGUUGUAGCAGAAUGUGAAAGGGUGCAACAAAGGUUGGAUGAGAUGACUAAAGAGGAUGAACUUGUAGAAGCGCAGCAAGCAAAUGUUGACAAGGACACAACAGAGACUGAUGCAGCACCGCAUCCUAAUGGCUAUGGAGACAAACUUCAAGAUCCUGAUGUUGCAGUGUCAAAAGGGCGUCCACAAAAAGGACGUUACAAAACUUUCAUGGAAAGUUUAGCAUCUAAACAGAAAGUCACAUGCAGUCGGUGUGGGAAGCCUGGUCAUUAUAAAAGUUCUUGUACUGCAAGUACUGAAGAUAUCAAUUUGGCCCAGAAAGAAAAAGUCAUCCGCAAACAGACCUCAAGUUUUGCAUCAAAAACUUUUCUAUUUUGGUGUUACCUAGUUUUUCCAGCAUUACAAAAAAGAACUUGUAGUUCAUUUUAUUCAUUUUGA
rnacentral:rRNA from 1 species